CAUAUUCAAAACAACACAACACAAAAAAGGAUGGGGUUAGCCCGAUGUAUAACCUGGUACAAAAUAGCGACUUAAAUGAAGACUUUAAUGUUUCACAAUGACAAGGCUGGACAUUAGUAAGUAAUGAAAGGACAUUAGCAAGCAAUGGAAAACAAUAUUAUAAUAAAAAUCGAACCAUGGAAGAAGGUAAAACUUCACUACAUGUCAUUAUAAGUUCAUGACCCUGAGUUGUACGCAUAGUUCUCAAUGCACUGCGCCAUCGAGAGUUUGCCACCAUCAUUUGGUCUAAACAUUAACAGCAAGGCCAUACAGCAUCGUUAUGUCGCAAGGAAAAGCUGAAUUUUCUGGGCCGGGCUGGGUCGCAGUCCUCUGCCUGCAUGUCAACUGCAUAUUGUGGGCAGGUAUCUUGAAAGCCCUCGGAGUCAUGCUGCCUACCCUCGUGGAACAGUUCGCCACAGAAACCUGGGUAAUUGGGUGGAUGGUGGCCAUCAUCAACGGUGCUAUCAAUAUCGUGGGACCCUUUUCCGGACCAGUGAACUCCUUGUUUGGUACCCGCUAUGUUGUGAUGGUCAGUGGUAUCCUGAUUGGGACGUCAUUGAUCGUUGCUUCACUGACUACCAGCGUUGUCCAAAUGACCGUGACUUUGACAUUGGGAGUUUCUUGUCUAAGUUGCUCCAGUGUUCUCAUGAGGGCGGCAGUCGCACGGUGUUUUCCAAUCAACUAUGGCACAGCCACCGGUCUGGCGAUGUCAGGAUUUCCCGUGGGUACACUCCUAAUCGCGCCUUUGACACAGCUUCUGCUAGACACGUACGGCUGGCGAGCCGCCAUGAUGCUCCUCGGUGCCAUGAGUUUGCACCUAUCUGCCUGUGGCGCCCUCUUCAGGCAGAGAUCAAGGGGCAGCGAGAAAAGUAACCAGUAUGAGACGCUUCGUGAAGACGAUGAUCUCGAUGACUCAUCUCCUAACAACAUUGCCAAAGAGAAAUCACGAUUGCGCGCUUUCAAGGACGCCCUCACAGCACAGACUGAACAUUUCGGUUUCUCGGUGUUCUUGAAGUUCUCCUUUUGGAUCGCCACCCUACUGGAAGUCUGUAUUCGCUUUGUUUCCGACCAGUGGCUGGUGUAUUUCGUCCCCCAGGCAGAGGCCAAGGGUUUCUCCCCCCAGGAAGCCGUUACGUUUGUCACCGCUGCCGGCAUCGGCAACAUCGUCUUCAAACUCGUCCUAGGCGUUGUCGUGGACCGGGGUCUGUUAAAACUGCGACCGGCAAUGGCAGCGGUGAUCGUCAUGAGCUGUGUGAGUUUCGUCAUCGUGCCGUGGGUGACGUCAUACUGGAUGACGUUAACAAAUGCUGUUGUCUUCUAUGGUUCGUGUGGUGCCAUUGGUUCACUCAUUGACAUCUUCACAAGGGAACUUCUGGGCGUGGAUCUCCUGAUCAGCGCUUUCAGUUGGAUGGAAGUUAUAUCGGCGCUUGUCAGCUUAGGUUUUGGAUUCUAUCCAGGUUGGAUUUACGACGAGACCGGAAGUUACGAUUUGGCCUUUGUUUCAUUGGGAUGUGUGUGGGCCCUGUCGCUGGUGGCGCUCUUAAUGGAACAGGUGAACGCGAGAUGGUAUAAGAAGUAAUCUGUGAUGAGUUUGUUAGUUUUGCUAUCAAAGAUCAGUUCUGUUAUGAUCUAAAUAUUGAGAAACCGUGUAUCAGUACACUGUAACACUGGUUGUUUAACUAUUUAACACAAUGUAAACGCUUGUUUGCAAUAGUUUAUAACGUUUUAACGCGUUUAAGGGGAGACGUAAAAGGCUCAGGCUAAAUUUUGAGUCGGAUUAAUUUGCAGGUGUCUGUCACAAGUUGAUUUUAAAAGGUCUUGUGAAUAUUUUAUUUCCAGAAUUAUACUGUAUAACUUUUUCUUUUUGUGAUUGUAUUAUGGGGAAGCGACCCCAACCUAAUUGAUAUAUAUAUACUUUGAAACUUUUUGUGAUUGUAUUACGGGAGAGACCUCAACCUAAUCCACAUACUCUGAAACCUUUGUGUGUGAUAAUAUUAAGGGAAAGACCCAACCUAAUUUUUUGAUGUAUUAGAAGUCCACGAAGUUGGAAUUGGGGUAAUCUUAUCAUGACUUGACUCCAGUUGAACACUUUAGCAUUACAAUGUAUAAGCUGUAAAUCCUAUAAGUAUUUAACAAUGGUGGGAUUUAACUGAGCAGUCCGUGCCUGUCAGUAGAUUAACUUGACAUGUUCUGAGGUUUUGAAAUACUUUUAGACCAUCAGUCUUGGGUAUAAAAUCCAGAUUGGGGCGUUGGCUAGGCACUUGUAGGCGAGACCAGGACCGACACUACGUCAGGGCAUGUUAUGCUCAUGUGUACCCACAUUGGGGAGUUGUAGGUUCCUAGUGAACUGAGUUUGCAAUUAUUUGCGCCGUUGGGAAUGAGUCCCACAGAGUCGGUAGGCUGCGGCCGUCCUCGUGUCCUCGUCAAAGUCAAUAAAAUGUAGACCAGGUUAUUCGCCAUAACCUGGUUUUUGGGACGUAACGUCUGGUUUUGGGAACUCCGCACAGUGAGAUAGACAUCCUCGGCGGGCCGAACUCAAGUCGACCAUACCAGCAGGAUUGUCGGCAAGGUCACACGUGGGCAGAGGACUCUACGGACACAGACGGUACUACCAGGGCAGGCACCGGUGCACCACACCCACAACCACACCAACCCGAACACUUCACACGGACCGUUGAUUUGGGCCCACUUUCGUUGAUUGUUUUGUAAUGUAUUAAUAAUGAUGUAUUUAUUUAGUUUCUUUGUAGGAUGAAAUUUAAGUGUAUGUUAAUAUUGGUGAUAUUGUGAAUUAAAUUAAUCUUGAAAUUAUA
rnacentral:misc_RNA from 1 species